CCCGGCGCGAGCUCGGCGGCCGCACCAACCUACUCCGGUGGCCCUCCCCAACGUUUCUAUGCCGGCCAGCUUCACCGCCUCACAGCCGCAGCAAGACCCCGCUUGGGGCAGCAUCGUGAAGACUAAGUGCAUCAAUCACUACGGAAGCGACAUCGGCGAGAUUAGAGUCGUCUGUUCUAUACAGCAAUAAUUUGAUCAUGGUCGGAAAUAUAAUAAUAUUGUACAUCGGUGCUUGUUGAUUAGGGUCGUU